GCCGGGCGCAGUGGCGCGUGACUGUAGUCCCAGCUACUCAGGAGGCUGAGGCUGGAGCAUCUCUUGAGCUCAGGAGUUCUGGGCUGUAGUGCGCUAUGCUGAUCUGGUGUCCACACUGUUUGGCAUUAAUAUGGUGACCUCCCGGGAGCGGGGGACCACUAGGUUGCCUAAGGAAGGAUGAACCAGCCCAGGUCAGAAACGGAGCAGGUCAAAACUCCCGUGCUUAUCAGCAGUGGGAUUGCGCCUGUGAAUAGCCACUUCACUCCAGCCUGGGCAACAUAGCGAAACACCUCU
rnacentral:SRP_RNA from 1 species